rnacentral:rRNA from 1 species
UACGUAGGGUGCAAGCGUUGUCCGGAAUUAUUGGGCGUAAAGAGCUCGUAGGCGGUCUGUCGCGUCUGCUGUGAAAACCUGGGGCUUAACCCCGGGCCUGCAGUGGGUACAGGCAGACUAGAGUGUGGUAGGGGAGACUGGAAUUCCUGGUGUAGCGGUGAAAUGCGCAGAUAUCAGGAGGAACACCAAUGGCGAAGGCAGCUCGCUGGGACGGUACUGACGCUGAGGCGCGAAAGCGUGGGGAGCAAACAGG